rnacentral:lncRNA from 1 species
AAGGAGAACUGUUGUGCAAUUUGCCCCACGCUGGAGGCACCGAGGGGCUGCUGCUGUUAGGGGGCAAAUUCCCCCAGGAGGUGACGCUUUCAGCACACGUUUUCUUUUAUCCUUCUGAAAGGAGUUCCAAACAUUUGAAGUUUGCUUUGAGUUUCACUGCAAGCAGAGCUGCAGUGCUCUGCCUGCUGACAAGGAGCAGGUGGGGAAGAGCAGGAGCAGAGAGGAGGUGAAUCACGCUGCAGCCUGGCGGUGUACCCAAGCGUAGCAGCACGUCAUUGAUGCCAUUUAAUUGUUCCCUGCAACUCAGAUAAUGGGGAAGACAUUAGUAAUAAUAGCAGCUUCACGAUGUUCCUUUUUGAUGUGCCAUCUCAAAAGCUGAAGUCUGAGCAAGGACAUUAGGAACCCGGAGUCUGAGGCUUCCUUUGGCAUUUUGUUUUUCUGCAGAACCUGAAAAUACUUCAAUGAGGCUUAUUAAACUUUAAUGUAAAUGCGUGCAAACAGAGGAAACUUGCACGCAGAAUACAAAUAACAAGGUGCCAGCCGUGGGGGUUUUGCAGCACUGUUUUUCACUCCACUUCUUUGACCACCUCCCAAAAACGUGUAGUGUGUGUGGUCAGAGAGCCCUUAUGCGUGGCUGCUCCUAUUCAGCACAGAGUAAAGCACAUCUCGUUGGAAGUCCCGUUGGGAUGGAGAUAGGAAAGCGCAGAGGGCAAAUUCAUUCAACCACGAGUUGGACUCCACGAUCCUUAUGGGUCUCUUCCAGCUUGAGUUUUUCUAUGAUUUCUGCCAGCCUUUGCCAGCAUGAAGGUCAGCACGGGCCCUGCCCCUUGCCAUAGGCAGUGCUUUACAUCAUCUCACCCUAUGGACCCACCCAGCUCUUCGGCACGUUCUGCUGGCCAGCUCUCAUCAGUCAGUGUCAGUAAAUGCGGUGUGGGACUGCGGAGUGCCCAGAGGGGUUCCAACCUGCUAUAGUGCAGCCUGCAUUAGGCUUCAGUGUGCUGAGCACUACUGAAGGGCUCUUGCCCCAAAUCCAUCUGCUUUAGCUGAGGUGCUGCUGAAAGAUAGGGAGAGGUGGAUUUAGCAUGCAGCCAGUGCCUGGCUGAUGAGCUCUUGUUGUAUUCUCACAAUGUGGACACGUUCUUUUGCUUCUUUUCUUUUGCCCUCCCUGCAGCAAUACAAGGAUCGCAUCACCACCAAUAUAAACGUGCACAUACUACACCCACAGCCACGGCGUGAGCUGCAGCCACUGCUGCUAUGAAUUUCCCGAGCACUGCUGGGAGCACUCAUUGCAAGGGGAAGAACUCAAAGCAACAGCAGCAGCCCGGGGCCACAGGAGGUGAGAAAACCCUCUGCACAUCAGCUGAGAUAUCACAGCAAUGAGGCUUGUGAGGGCUUUUCCUUUUUCCCUACGGACAAAAUCCAGCUGCUGUUAUUCAUAUUUCUCACGGCUGAAGAUUGCAGCGAGUUGAUGGAUGCGGCGAAGAUGAAGUCUGAAGGGAUCAGUGGAAUUGGCACUUGGCUUAAAAAAGAUGGAUAAGGCAUACGAAACACCCUGCAUAUUCCUUUGGUCACAAAAAGAGCCCGCCAGGGUUUGGGUUUAUUUUUGCUGACCCUCUUCUACAUAGUAGAAAGAUAGGGGGAAUGAUAACAUUCCUUUUGUUACCUUCC